rnacentral:rRNA from 1 species
UACGUAGGGGGCUAGCGUUGUCCGGAAUCAUUGGGCGUAAAGAGCGUGUAGGCGGCCGGGUAAGUCCGGUGUGAAAACUCGAGGCUUAACCUCGAGAUGUCAUCGGAAACUAUUCGGCUAGAGUCCGGAAGAGGAGAGUGGAAUUCCUGGUGUAGCGGUGAAAUGCGCAGAUAUCAGGAAGAACACCUAUGGCGAAAGCAGCUCUCUGGGACGGUACUGACGCUGAGACGCGAAAGCGUGGGGAGCGAACAGG